rnacentral:tRNA from 1 species
GCCUCCUUAGCUCAGCGGUAGAGCAGCUCACUCGUAAUGAGCAGGUCGUGGGUUCGAGUCCCAUGGGAGGCU